UGAGGAAUAUUGCACAAUGGGCGCAAGCCUGAUGCAGCGACGCCGCGUGGGUGAUGAAGGCUUUCGGGUCGUAAAGCCCUUUUCUAGAUGACGAGACAGGACGGUAGUCUAGGAAUAAGUGUCGGCUAACUACGUGCCAGCAGCCGCGGUAAAACGUAGGACACAAGCGUUAUCCGGAGUUACUGGGCGUAAAGGGCGUGUAGGCGGACUUGUAAGUCUAUUCUGAAAGCUCCUGGCUAAACUGGGAGAGGCGAAUGGAGACUGCAAAUCUAGAGUGAGGAAGAGGAAAGUGGAAUUCCGCGUGUAGUGGUGAAAUGCGUAGAGAUGCGGAGGAACACCAGUGGCGAAAGCGACUUUCUGGGCCUUAACUGACGCUGAGGCGCGAAAGCAUGGGGAGCGAACGG
rnacentral:rRNA from 1 species